UGCAAAUCAAUUGGUAGUGCGACGUUUGCGAAGGUUUGUCGUUGCCUGCUGUGUGUACUCUACGAUAGUUUUCUAUACGAUUUUUAUACAAGUUAUUUAGGUACAGGAAGAACACCGAAAUGGAUAGAAUCAGUGUGUGUUCCCGCCGCACCAGUUUCUAAUAUAAAAAAGGAGAAAAAAGAAAAAAGGCCAACACAACAAAGAAAAUGACUAAUAAGACAAAGAAAAGAUCGUCCACAGGUGCUGAGGAUUAGACCUCGUUAGGGAAGAAACGUAGGGAAGAAAAAAAAGGAUCACUAACAAGAAUAGGUAGAAAUUCUAAGAAGUCCGUCCACAAAAGUCGCCUCAAGUGUGAUAAAAUACUGUGCCUCCAUUGAUAUCAACAUACGGAUACCUAUCACGCCCAAGUUCUUGAUUUAUUCUACACCUGCCGGAUACCUCCCUCCGAAGAUCUGUUACCCGAACAAUUUGAAUAAAAGGACCCUUCAAUCACCCGAAGAAUCCACCGAACACCCGAAAAAUCCCGUGUUUGAGUCAUCGAGUCAUCCUUAACUUUAUAAGGUAUUUAUUCACACGCGAGUCGUUUGUAAACUCUCUCUCGCGACAAUUAAAUUUAAGAAAAUAUGGAUCGUAUAUACUGU